AGCAAUAUGAAGGUCAGGCUGAAGACCUUACCCGAUUAGCUGAGAGGUGGUGCAUGGCCGUCGUCAGUCGUACUGUGAAGCAUCCUGUUAAGUCAGGCAACGAGCGAGACCCACGUCCACAGUUGCCAGCAUACCCUCCGGGGUGAUGGGUACACUGUGGAGACCGCCGCUGCUAAAGCGGAGGAAGGAGUGGGCGACGGUAGGUCAGUAUGCCCCGAAUCUCCCGGGCUACACGCGGGCUACAAUGGUUGGUACAAUGGGCAUCUACCCCGAAAGGGGAAGGAAAUCUCUUAAAGCCAAUCGUAGUUCGGAUUGAGGGCUGCAACUCGCCCUCAUGAAGCUGGAAUCCGUAGUAAUCGCGUUUCAACAGAACGCGGUGAAUACGUCCCUGCUCCUU
rnacentral:rRNA from 1 species